rnacentral:lncRNA from 1 species
AUUAUACUAUUUUUUGGUGCUUUUUUUUUUUAUUAUUGUAGGAUAGCAGUAGUAAUAAUAUGUCUCAAGUGUUAUCAAAAGUAGGAGAUCAAGUAGAAAAAAGAACAAUAAACGAAAUGUUACUUUUAUGUAGAGCUUGGGAAAAUUAUGUCCACCCGAGGGCCAAAGAAUACUGGAAGGAUUCGCAACAACUUCAAAAUAUUCUAUGUAUAAAAAAUAAUAUAAAUAAAUAAAAAAAAAAACAUCUUAAUGAAUAUUUUUACGUUCAUAGUAAUUACAUGUUGAAUGAAAAAAGUAUCACAAAAAAAUGUGACAAUUUUUUUUUUUUUUUUUUAAUAUUAGAUUAAAACGCAAGCAACAGUACAUGCAUGAUUGUAUGUAUGUAUGUAUGUAUGUAUUUAUUUGUUUGUGUAUAUAUGUGCAUGUAUUAGUUAUACCUACUUACAAUGGACGAUAUAAAAAAUAAAGCAAAGAAUAAUAUAUAAAUGCGUGUAUAUAUAUAUAUAUAUAUAUAUAUAUAUAUAUAUGUAUAUAUUUUUUUUUUAGGUAAGAUUGCAGAUGGUAUUACAAAAAAUGACGACCCUAUUUUGGGUGAUGAUUAUGCAUGCGUUUUUUGGCAUGGGGAAAAAAAUAAAAAUGACAACUGUCCAAUCAUAUCAGUAAAAAAGGGAAAUGAUAACAUUGAAACUAUAACUUACGUCAACCGAGUUCUUAUAUUCUUAUAUGCAGAUGAGGCAAGUUUUCAAGAAUUACAAAAAAAACCUAAGAAGGCAUUUACCAUGGCUUGUGGUAAUAUCAAUUGCAUUAAUUUAACACACAUAUCUUUAGAUGAUUAAGUAUGUAAAUAAGGUAAAAGUGUGAUAAAAUAAAAUAACGCGAGUAAUAAAAACA